rnacentral:rRNA from 1 species
GACGAACGCUGGCGGCGUGCCUAAUACAUGCAAGUAGAACGCUGAAGGAGGAGCUUGCUCUUCUGGAUGAGUUGCGAACGGGUGAGUAACGCGUAGGUAACCUGCCUGGUAGCGGGGGAUAACUAUUGGAAACGAUAGCUAAUACCGCAUAACAGUAGAUGUUGCAUGACAUUUGCUUAUAAGGUGCAAUUGCACCACUACCAAAUGGCCCUGCGUUGUAUUAGCUAGUUGGUGGGGUAACGGCUCACCAAGGCGACGUUGCAUAGCCGACCAGAGAGGGGGAUCGGCAACGCUGGGACUGGGACACGGCCCAGACUCCUGCGGGAGGCAGCAGUAGGGAAUCUUCGGCGAUGGACGGAAUGCGGACCGAUGAACGACGCGUGAGUGAAGAAGGUAUUCGGAUCGUAUAGGUCUGUUGUAAGAGAAGAUCGAGUGUGUGAGUGGAAAGUGCACACUGUGACGGUAUCGUACCAGAAAGCGACGGCUAACUCCGUG